rnacentral:rRNA from 1 species
UACGGAGGAUGCAAGCGUUAUCCGGAAUGCUUGGGCGUAAAGCGUCCGCAGGUGGCAAUGUAAGUCUGCUGUUAAAGAGUCUAGCUCAACUAGAUAAGAGCAGUGGAAACUACAUAGCUAGAGUACGUUCGGGGCAGAGGGAAUUCCUGGUGUAGCGGUGAAAUGCGUAGAGAUCAGGAAGAACACCGGUGGCGAAGGCGCUCUGCUAGGCCGUAACUGACACUGAGGGACGAAAGCUAGGGGAGCGAAUGGG